rnacentral:tRNA from 1 species
GCAGUAGUGGCUCAGGGUAGAAUUUCUGCUUUCCAUGCAGAAGACAGGUUUAGUUCCUGGCCAUUGCA